rnacentral:rRNA from 1 species
GAUGAACGCUAGCGGGAGGCUUAAUACAUGCAAGUCGAGGGGCAGCAUGGGACUUCGGUCCUGAUGGCGACCGGCGCACGGGUGAGUAACGCGUACACAACCUACCUUCAAGAGGGGGAUAGCCUCGGGAAACUGAGAUUAAUACCCCAUGUGAUUAACUUAUUAAUGAUUGGUUAAUUAAAGAUCCGUCGCUUGAAGAUGGGUGUGCGUCCCAUUAGGUAGUUGGUGAGGUAACGGCUCACCAAGCCGACGAUGGGUAGGGGGCGUGAGAGCGUGACCCCCCACACGGGUACUGAGACACGGACCCGACUCCUACGGGAGGCAGCAGUAAGGAAUAUUGGACAAUGGGCGCAAGCCUGAUCCAGCUAUCCCGCGUGCAGGAUGACAGCCCUACGGGUUGUAAACUGCUUUUAGUAGGGACGAAACCCUUGGAUUUACUCCGAGGCUGACGGUACCUACAGAAUAAGCACCGGCUAACUCCGUGCCAGCAGCCGCGGUAAUACGGAGGGUGCAAGCGUUAUCCGGAAUCACUGGGUUUAAAGGGUGCGUAGGUGGUUUGAUAAGUCAGAGGUGAAAGCCCACCGCUUAACGGUGGAAUUGCCUUUGAUACUGUCAGAC